AGAGUUUGAUCCUGGCUCAGGAUGAACGCUGGCGGCGUGCUUAACACAUGCAAGUCGAACGGGCCUGGGGCCUUCGGACCCCGGGUUAGUGGCGGACGGGUGAGUAACGCGUGAGGAACCUGCCCUGGAGUGGGGAAUAACGGCUGGAAACGGCCGCUAAUACCGCAUAACGCAGACGGGCCGCAUGGCCUGUGUGCCAAAGAUUUAUCGCCCUGGGAUGGCCUCGCGUCUGAUUAGCUGGUUGGCGGGGUAACGGCCCACCAAGGCGACGAUCAGUAGCCGGACUGAGAGGUUGGCCGGCCACAUUGGGACUGAGACACGGCCCAGACUCCUACGGGAGGCAGCAGUGGGGAAUAUUGGGCAAUGGGCGGAAGCCUGACCCAGCAACGCCGCGUGAAGGAAGAAGGCUUUCGGGUUGUAAACUUCUUUUAACAGGGACGAUGAGACGGUACCUGUUGAAUAAGCUCCGGCUAACUACGUGCCAGCAGCCGCGGUAAUACGUAGGGAGCAAGCGUUAUCCGGAUUUACUGGGUGUAAAGGGCGUGUAGGCGGGACAGCAAGUCAGAUGUGAAAACUCAGGGCUCAACCCUGAGCCUGCAUUUGAAACUGUAGUUCUUGAGUACUGGAGAGGUUGACGGAACUCCUAGUGUAGCGGUGAAAUGCGUAGAUAUUAGGAAGAACACCAGUGGCGAAGGCGGUCAACUGGACAGCAACUGACGCUGAGGCGCGAAAGCGUGGGUAGCAAACAGGAUUAGAUACCCUGGUAGUCCACGCAGUAAACGAUGGAUACUAGGUGUGGG
rnacentral:rRNA from 1 species